UCUGGUUGAUUCUGCUAGUAGUCAUAUGCUUGUCUCAAAGAUUAAGCCAUGCAUGUCUAAGUAUAAACAACUUUGUACUGUGAAACUGCAAAUAGCUCAUUAAAUCAGUUAUAGUUUACUUGAUGGUACCUUGCUACAUGGAUAACUGUGGUAAUUCUAGAGCUAAUACAUGCAAUCAAGCCCUGACUUCAGGAAGGAGUGUAUUUAUUAGAUAAAAAACCAAUGCGGCUUGCUGCUCCCUUAGUGAUUCAUAAUAACUUCUUGAAUCACAUGGUCUUGCAGCUGGCAAUGCUUCAUUCAAAUAUCUGCCCUAUCAACUUUCGAUGGUAGAAUAGAGGCCUAUCAUGGUUUCAAUGGGUAACAGGGAAUAAGAGCUCGAUUCCAAAGAGAAAGCCUGAGAAAUGGCUACCACAUCCAAGAAAGGCAGCAGGCAUGCAAAUUACCCAAUCCUGACAUGGGGAGGUAAUGACAAUAAAUAACAAUAUAGGGCUCUUUUGGGUCUUAUAAUUAGAAUGAGUACAAUUUAAAUCCCUUAAUGAGGAACAAUUGGAGAGCAAGUCUGGUGCUAGCAGCCAUAGUAAUUCCAGCUCCAAUAGCAUAUAUUAAAGUUGUUGCAGUUGAAAAGCUCAUAGUUGAACUUCAGACCUGGUCAGGUGGUCCGCCUCACGGUGUGUACUGCCUGACUGGGCCUUACCUCUUGGUGAGCCGGCGUGCCCUUUAUUGGUGUGCGUCGGGGAACCAGGACUUUUACCUUGAGAAAAUUAGAGUGUUCAAAGCAGGCUUAUGCCCAAAUACAUUAGCAUGGAAUAAUAGAAUAGGAUGUGUGGUUCUAUUUUGUUGAUUAAAAUAGCGCCAGUGCACUGAGCUCAGCCAGAGGCUUAUUAGCACUUGCUGGGCUGCUGAUGGCUGUGGCUGGGGUGGAGUCAGCGUUUGUUUGGGCGGGGCAGUGGCCUAAAAGGAGGAGCCAAUCGAAGGGAACAGAGGCAUACUGUUCUUUGAGAAUUGGUGGUCCAAGUCUAAGCAUUUGUGCCAGAAGUGAGUAGAGUCUGGGCUGUAUGAGACGCACCUGAACCUGGAUGCCAUGCAGGCUGCCUCUGAAUGUUUGUGGCUCACACACUUGGCGCAGCAACCAGUGUC
rnacentral:rRNA from 1 species